rnacentral:pre_miRNA from 1 species
AAUAAGUGUAGUUUUUAGUUUUUGGAUACCAUCUUUGACUCUUUGUCUUAUUUAAAUUUUUUUACGAUUAAUAUUUUUAUUUUCAUUAGAUAAUAAAAUAUAAAUACUACUUUACACGUGACUAAUUUUUUAAGUUUUUUAUAAAUUUUUAAAUAAGAUAGAUAAUCAAAUGCUAGACAUAGAAAUUGAAAAAUGAAGUUUUU